CUCAGGAUGAACGCUGGCGGUAUGCUUAACACAUGCAAGUCGAACGAAAUCUUCGGAUUUAGUGGCGGACGGGUGAGUAACGCGUGAGAAUCUGGCUUCAGGUCUGGGACAACCACUGGAAACGGUGGCUAAUACCGGAUGUGCCGAGAGGUGAAAGAUUAAUUGCCUGAAGAUGAGCUCGCGUCUGAUUAGCUAGUAGGUGUGGUAAAGGCGCACCUAGGCGACGAUCAGUAGCUGGUCUGAGAGGACGAUCAGCCACACUGGGACUGAGACACGGCCCAGACUCCUACGGGAGGCAGCAGUGGGGAAUUUUCCGCAAUGGGCGAAAGCCUGACGGAGCAAUACCGCGUGAGGGAGGAAGGCUCUUGGGUCGUAAACCUCUUUUCUCAGGGAAGAACACAAUGACGGUACCUGAGGAAUAAGCAUCGGCUAACUCCGUGCCAGCAGCCGCGGUAAUACGGAGGAUGCAAGCGUUAUCCGGAAUGAUUGGGCGUAAAGCGUCCGCAGGUGGCUAUGUAAGUCUGCUGUUAAAGAGUCUAGCUCAACUAGAUAAGAGCAGUGGAAACUACAAGGCUAGAGUACGUUCGGGGCAGAGGGAAUUCCUGGUGUAGCGGUGAAAUGCGUAGAGAUCAGGAAGAACACCGGUGGCGAAGGCGCUCUGCUAGGCCGUAACUGACACUGAGGGACGAAAGCUAGGGGAGCGAAUGGGAUUAGAUACCCCAGUAGUCCUAGCCGUAAACGAUGGAUACUAGGCGUGGCUUGUAUCGACCCGAGCCGUGCCGUAGCUAACGCGUUAAGUAUCCCGCCUGGGGAGUACGCCGGCAACGGUGAAACUCAAAGGAAUUGACGGGGGCCCGCACAAGCGGUGGAGUAUGUGGUUUAAUUCGAUGCAACGCGAAGAACCUUACCAAGGCUUGACAUGUCGCGAAUCUCGGUGAAAGCUGAGAGUGCCUUCGGGAGCGCGAACACAGGUGGUGCAUGGCUGUCGUCAGCUCGUGUCGUGAGAUGUUGGGUUAAGUCCCGCAACGAGCGCAACCCUCGUUUUUAGUUGCCAGCAUUAAGUUGGGCACUCUAGAGAGACUGCCGGUGACAAACCGGAGGAAGGUGGGGAUGACGUCAAGUCAGCAUGCCCCUUACGCCUUGGGCUACACACGUACUACAAUGCUCCGGACAGAGGGCAGCAAGCAUGCGAAUGCAAGCAAAUCCCGUAAACCGGAGCUCAGUUCAGAUCGCAGGCUGCAACUCGCCUGCGUGAAGGAGGAAUCGCUAGUAAUUGCAGGUCAGCAUACUGCAGUGAAUUCGUUCCCGGGCCUUGUACACACCGCCCGUCACACCAUGGAAGCUGGUAGUGCCCGAAGUCAUUACUCCAACCUUUCGGGGGGGAGGAUGCCUAAGGCAGGACUGGUGACUGGGGUGAAGUCGUAACAAGGUAGCCGUACCGGAA
rnacentral:rRNA from 1 species